CUGGGGGUGUUUACAUAUGUGCUCUUCCUUUGGGAAAACCCCACAUAGAAACAUUUUGAUGUUUGAACGCUUAGUUUCCCCUAAGAAGUUGUCAGGAGCAAAGGAUGGGAAAUGUGGAGGGUGAGAAGCAGAAAUGAGCGAAGGUCAACCUGGGACGUUUUAUAAAUUGAAGUUUACUUGGGAAACAAGAUAAACAGCACACAAAUAGUAAGGUGUAUCAAUUGGGAAAAGAUCAUUUCAUUUAAAAAAUUCCUUUCUCAUUAUACAAAGUGAGGCCACAGAUGAUAAACUUUUACAAGAUGAUACUAAUACACAGUUUUAUUAAGUGCUUUUUUUCACGUGGCCCAUUUCCCCUGCAUUUUCUAAUUUGAGAUUCUCAUUCACUGAGAUGCUAUCUAUGGAUUACCUGGGCAUCCAUGAACCAAAGAAGGAAAUGACCUUCUUUGGGACCUCAGGUAGAUCUUGGAGAGGGGUGCCCUUAUAUUUGUAAAAUCAAGUAACUGGACAUGGGGCAUUUACUGGUCCUCAUGUGUGGGGUUU
rnacentral:lncRNA from 1 species